rnacentral:rRNA from 1 species
AUUGAACGCUGGCGGAAUGCUUUACACAUGCAAGUCGAGCGGCAGCGCGGCCUUCGGGCUGGCGGCGAGCGGCGAACGGGUGAGUAAUGCAUCGGAACAUGCCCAGUCGUGGGGGAUAACACUUCGAAAGAAGUGCUAAUACCGCAUACGUCCUGAGGGGGAAAGCGGGGGAUCGCAAGACCUCGCGCGAUUGGAGUGGCCGAUGUCAGAUUAGCUAGUUGGUGGGGUAAAGGCCUACCAAGGCGACGAUCUGUAGCUGGUCUGAGAGGAUGAUCAGCCACACUGGGAAUGAGACACGGCCCAGACUCCUACGGGAGGCAGCAGUGGGGAAUUUUGGACAAUGGGGGCAACCCUGAUCCAGCCAUUCCGCGUGGGUGAAGAAGGCCUUCGGGUUGUAAAGCUCUUUCGGCAGGAACGAAACGGUGGGCUCUAACAUAGUCCGCUAAUGACGGUACCUGAAGAAGAAGCACCGGCUAACUACGU